rnacentral:rRNA from 1 species
UCAAAGAUUAAGCCAUGCAUGUCUCAGUACAAGCCAAAUUAAGGUGAAACCGCGAAAGGCUCAUUAAAUCAGUUAUGGUUCCUUAGAUCGUACCCACAAUUACUUGGAUAACUGUGGUAAUUCUAGAGCUAAUACAUGCAAACAGAGCUCCGACCGGAGACGGGAGGAGUGCUUUUAUUAGAUCAAAACCAAUCGGUGGCGGGUUCGCUCGUUAUCGUACAACUUGGUGACUCUGAAUAACUUUACGCUGAUCGCACGGUCAUCGCACCGGCGACGCAUCUUUCAAAUGUCUGCCUUAUCAACUGUCGAUGGUAGGUUCUGCGCCUACCAUGGUUGUAACGGGUAACGGGGAAUCAGGGUUCGAUUCCGGAGAGGGAGCCUGAGAAACGGCUACCACAUCCAAGGAAGGCAGCAGGCGCGCAAAUUACCCACUCCCGGCACGGGGAGGUAGUGACGAAAAAUAACGAUACGGGACUCAUCCGAGGCCCCGUAAUCGGAAUGAGUACACUCUAAACCCUUUAACGAGGAUCAAUUGGAGGGCAAGUCUGGUGCC